AGGCUGUUCAAAGCCUUUGAGCAGUGCUGCGGAGAGGCUGCUGCUGUCAGAGCCGGGCUGAUGAAGGCUGCAGUCCCCAACCAGGGUGCACGUGCAGCCCUGGAAUAUUAAAUCUAAUGGGAAGACGAUAAUGAUUAAUUAUCCCACCCGUCUACAGGGGGGAAUAAUUUUCUCCUUACUGGAAUAACUAAAACAGCUUCUUUUACAUGGUAAUGGCACUUUGCUGUCACACGGCAUCUUAAAUCCCAGCACUUUGCACCUAUCUGACUAAUUGGGACGCAGCCUUGCCAGGGCUGGCUGAGGCAUCCCUCCAGGAUUGCUCUGCCCACUGCCGAACUGCGAUCUUCUCUGGGGUCAAACACAAACGCUGCCAAAGAUCAGCCUAAAGUGCCCAACCAGGGCAGGAAGCCGAGGUACCUGGAGGCACCAAGCCUGGCUGGAGCAAGCAGGAAAAUCCCGAGGGCUGAUUUCUGCAAGAGGGCCUCGUCUGCAAGUCACGGUUCUAGCCAGAGCAAGCUGUAAUGGAGAGAUGAGACGUCCAGGGAUGCUGAAGCACACAGCUCCCACCACUGCUGGAGGAGUUCAAACGCUUGGCUGACCUUCAGACCGCGGCGCAGAAACGUCUCCAGGUUUCAGGCAUCGCUGACAGCUGAGGGCACCUCGACACCCUGCGAGGAGGUGUAAGGAUGAGAGAAGCUGAUUUGUGGCGGCCGUCCCCCAGCUCUGAUGUGAUCACCAGCUCUCUUGUUGCAGUCCCAGCAGACCCAGCACCGUUCCCAUCUCAGAAAGCCCUUUCACGAUUAUUACUUUAUCGCUGUCACGGUGCCAGGAACACCAAUUGUUUCCAACCUUUAGGAAACGAGCCAAAGAGGGCGGCUGAGUAUUUUCCUGUAGGACAUCCAGCUGUGAUGAUGCCAUGAGUAAAGUUGAGCUAAGGGACUCGCAACGGAGCCCUCGGGUGGGGAUGGAGCGGGGAAGCAAAGGCUCAGACACAACAACCUCCCCAAAAAGGGGGUGGCAGCACCCUCACCUGCAGGACAAACCUAGCGAGGGGGGAAUUCCUGGUGUUUAUUUUUCACGGUGCUGCUCAGGCAGAGAUGGUUGGGAAGCAGACCAGCAGCAGAGGGGCAUCUGGUGGUGCCCAGUCACCAGGUGGAGCAGAGGCGAGCGCAGCCCGUGUGCGUUUCCACCAGGCACCUCGGUGUGCCAGGCGGAACGCAGCAGUGGGUCAAGCAUCAAACCUGAUCACUGUUUCUCUACACAUGAUAAUUUAUGAUCCUGGUCUUAGCACGUAUUUUCAGGAACUGCCAUUUGAAUUAGGAUGAAAACAGAAAUUAACUCGCUUUGACUACUAGGAAGAACCAAGGUGGAUUUACUGAAUGUUUUCCAAACGUGCUGUAUUAGGGAUGGCAGCGUAUGGCUCCUGGGUGCCUGAACCCACAAACUGUGUGUGUGUGGCUGGAUAACCCACAUCCCACAGCAGAGGACAGAGGGAGCUGGCCAGGGCUGCUGGCCCUUGGUAGAGGGGGAGCCUCGUGACUCUGAAAUGAUCCAGGAGGUGCUGCCACAUCUCCGAGCUACGUGAGCAUACAUUGCAUGGCCAUCAGCCAUCGGAUGGUGGCAGCCCAUAGCUCUGCCAGGAAUGAAAGACACCAGGCAGAGGGAGAGAAUCACUCUUUCAGCUACCUAAGCCCUGAUUGCAGCCUCUGAAACUGAGACCGUUGUUGCAUACGUGCUAUGGUCAGGUCACCGCAGGACUGUGCCAUUUGGUCAUCGUCUCAUUUGCUUUCUGAGAAUACUGAAGUUUUACCCAGGCUGAGAGUUUCAAAGGAUCCUCCCCCGCAGAAAUUUGCAAGGGGUUUUACAGCAAUCCAGUAAGAGUGUGGAAACAGCAGCCGAUGAACAGCACAGAGCACUUCGUUAAUGCAGAGCCACUAAUGAAAUCUAGCAGAGCGCCAGACCUGAUCAUGACAAAUAUAUUUGUCAACUCCUUUCAAUAAGGAAGGAAUUAAGCAAAAUUGCAACCUGCUGCUAGAUAUUCUCUUCAAAGAGAAGGGGAGGGAAAUCAGCUGUAAAUUAUUCCCUGUGAAUUACCACUUAGCUCUCCCGAUGCCUGAUGGAGAGGCCACGGGUGCUUUUGGGCAGGGCUGAGCCCAGGCUGGGCAUGGCGAGCUGCAGCUGCCCUGGGAGAGGUGGCAGUAGCGGAUCACCAGCUCCACUGACCCAGCACAGUGGUGCUCAAGCACUUUUUGCUGGGGUUGUGACACUCUGCACUGCUUUCACCUGGCCUGGGUGCCCACACAGUCCAUUGAAGUCACCUCCUCCAUCCUUCGGCGUGCCCAAAAUGAAUAAGACAGCCUGGCUGCACCCGCAUGUUCCUGACAUCACCUCUUUCCUGCUGUUUGUUGGUUGUACUUUUUACGGAAUAGGUUUAAGUUUCUCGUUUGUUGGAGACAGGGCGAGCAAGGCUGCAGAGAGCAAUGUACAAAGUGGGAGCCUUAUAAUGGAAUUUAAAAAUUGAUGAGGAAAACUGGAACAAUCUAAACUGAUGUUAACUGAGUAAUUAGGCAACAUCAGGGCUGCAGUUUCUUUCAUGCAUAAGUGGCCAUUAGGCAGCUACUACCCACACAACCUUUUUCCUCUCUCCUGGUCCUACAAGGACAGAUUAAGCCUGGAGCCCAAGCAUCCAUGAGCUGUGAACAGGGUCAGAGCGAGGGCUUUGCACAGGGAGAAACCUCAGCUGCAGGGUCCCACUUUGGACCCCCAGACUACCCAGCUAAUUGAUGUAAGGGAUUUCCGUUUCUCUCCCAGGUGUGUGGCCAUGACAUUUUAUCCUUCCUAUCUGAGAAACUGCAGGAUGGGGCAACAGGCAGAGCCCCAGGCCCAGCACAAACCCUGCACACAUGGUCCCACUCCCAGUGAAUGCCUCCUGGGUGGCUGCAGCCCUGGCAGCUGGCACACAGAGCUGUGCCCUGCUCCCCUCCCUCCGUGGUUAAUUAUUCCAGCAUUUCAUUACUCACCUCACUUGGUUUCUUCGUUUCUCCUCCAGUGACGAAUGAAUUUCCAGGUGCUCUGUCGAGUGCUGUAGAGCGGAACCAGCGCAGCCGCUGCGUGGCCGUAAUUCGCUUGGACAGCUGCACGGCCGCUGCUGCUGCCUCCUUCCUCCCCACCACAUCCCCCUGGUGCAGACGGGGUGUGAGGAGGAAGAACUUACCCUGCCCAGAGCCACCUGCCCUCCUCAUCCUCAUGUGCAAUUGCAUCACGUCUGCACCCCAAAACACAGACCCCAGACAUUGCAUGGCUUUAAGCACAACAGGGUUGGGCAGCACCAGCUUGGCAAAGUCACACCGAGCAGGGUCUGUGCGAUCUGGGAGCCAGCAGCAUGUGGGGUUAAAACAAAAACCAUCUUGAGCAUCCUGAGUGGGGCCCAGCUGGACUAGACGAGGCAGGGUGGCUGCUUCAUCUAAUUCAAGCAAUUAGCGGGGUGUUUCCUUUCGCCGGCCUAAGUUCUGUUGAAAAGCAAAGGGAACUGCAGCCGUGGGUGGACUGUAUGUAUGGGGCACCCCCACGAGUUAAUCAGUCAUUUACAAAAUGCUGAUAUAAAUUGCUGUUAAUUAGCUCUGUAAAUGCUUAUUCUGCUGGCUAAAUUAGAACCUGCUGGAAGGGGUCAGAUGUGCCAGCACAGCUUAAUGUUAUUUAUUGAUUUCUAAGGGGACUCUGUGGAGGUUUGGGGAGCCCUGAGAGACAGGUGAGCUCCACAGGCCUCUCGUUUUGUUAUUUGGUUUUCCUCACCUGUUCUCUUUCUGUUGCUUCCUUUGUGUUUGGCUGAUUCGGCACUGCUGAACAUCAUGGCAGCAUCCUCAGACCUGGAGACACAGCGCUGGCUGACCCAAUGGGGCAGGUUUUCUCCUCUCCAGCUUCUGUUUCCCUCUACACGAGCUGGGUUUGGACUUGCAAACCCUGCUCCCCAAACCGUCUCUACCACAUCUUCACACCAUGCUCAGUGCUAUGGCACCCAGGGCAGCCCACAGCCCUUGUUCAUACACUGACAGUCUGCUGGUGCCCAAGGGGACGUACUUUAAGGACACUAAAUCAGAAGAUUACAGUGCCCAAAGUGGGCAAUAGCAUAAAACUGGGCCUGCAGCAGGGGCCCGGUGGCCUUGCCCCGUGACAAGGCCUGGCUGCAGGACCCCAGCCAAAAUGGCGCCCUCGUGAACCAAAAGGGUGACCAGAGACCUCCCAAAGGUGCUGACAAUCCUUCCUCCGUCCGUGUCCUCCUAAAUCAAACAGGAACAGUGCUGUUGCCCCAGAAUUCAAAGUAAAAAAAUGUCUGAGGUUCACUGGGCCAUGGCCAGGCUGUGCCCAGCUCCAGCGCUGGCCAACACACGGCCCAGCGUGCUGCCUGCUGAAACCUCUCGCUGCCUUCCUGCCAACCUCAUUUCAGGUAAACCAGCCGAGGCCAGCUGAGAAGAGAAUGAAACGAGAAAGACGAAGCAUCUGGCUUAGAAAUCAGACAAAUAAAAGGCAACGGGAAAGCCACAGAGAGCAGCAAACUCGCAUCAGCGAAGCCGGCGUGGGCAGAGCAGGAGCAGGCAGCAGGACAUCAAAGAGCGUGGAACACCCUUUUUAUAAAACAAAUUUUGUCAAUCAGCGCUGAGACACAAGCUAAUUGCAGUCAGUCACCGGCGAGGGGGAGGGAGGAGGCGUUCAGCAGAGAACACAACCUAAUUAAAGCAAAUUGGGGCAUCCUGGAGCAGACCCACCGGAGCUGACAGGCAGCCUGCAGAAGCCGGGGGCUGCGCAGACCCCGCUGUCCCACCACCCAGCAGGGCUCUGCUCACAGCCCUGUUUCUUCCUGCCUGCAGCGCUGAAUAGGCCCGAUAAAAACCUGCUGGAAAGGCAAAAUAAUCAAUUCUGCACACAGCCAGGGAUUAACCCCGAGCUCUGGGAUGGGGCAGUGACAAGUCGUUAUUUCCUGCACCACGCUGAGGCUGCGACCUGGCCCUACAGCAGCGGCUGGGGAGGAACCACCACCUGCACGGAUGGAGAGGAAAAGCAGGGAUAUCUCACGUUGGUGGUGCUGUAACUCAAGGAACAGCUCUUUAACGUGGUCCCAGGGACUGCUGGACUCCACCGUUUUGGUAGGGGCAUGGAGAUCUUUCUUCCAGGCUGCUCACUGCUGCAAUUAAAUGAUUAAUUUGUUGUCUGGCUCUACCUUUCUCUAGGGCUCAAAGGGAUUAAAGUUCUGCCCUGUUUAGUUUCUAAGCUCCGAAAUACUUCAUUUGGAGUCUCGGCCAGAAGAAAGGGACUGGAAGGGGACAGAAGCCUGAGGGUCGUCACCCCAAGGUUGCCCUCCAAUGCUCCAGCAGGAAAAGCAAACCACUGGAAUCCCUGAGAUCAGGCUGAAUAUGGGUCAGAGCAAAAACAUGUUGACAAACUCUACUGGGGAAACCAGAAAUGAAAACGUGCCUAUUUAUCACUGAAAAAUUCAUCAACUUCAGACACACUCAGAAAGCACGACAGCAGACACGUAACAACAUAUUCAGUGUCCCUUUCCAACUAGAAAAUUCUCUGCCAAAUUAAUUUCCAACUUGAAGCAACGCGAAUUCAGCACCAGGCCUGGAUCAAGAGACAUUAACAGCAGUUAGUCUCACUUUGGGGAGCUGUGCUCCCGCCUUCAGUAGUAAAGUCGAGAUAUAAAUCACAGUUUCAAGGGUUUUGUUUGUUUCCUUGAGGAUCUUAAGUACCUGUUUUCAAAGGGGCUCUGCUGAUCUGCCGUGGUGGAGGACCCGUGAGCUCCCUGAGCCCUCCCAGCAGACCGAGCAUCAGCUCCCUGCUGGGGGGCAAGGGAGGGGGGGAAUGAGACCACAG